ACUCUGAGUGCAUAAGGAAGGCAAUCAAGGCCAUGGGAAAGACAACACGCAUUACGUAUCUUUAGCAACCUUAUGUUGCUGGUCUUGGAGAAAGCUUCAGAGCUCCAUCUUGCUUCAUAUGCUCGAGCAUAGUCUACUAUCGCUUGAAUUGCUUCAGUUCCCUAAAAUUCAGAAUUGUAAUUACUCAAUAGUGCAAUAUUGUUGAUUAAAAGA